UCCUGCGGCCACACUUUCUUUUUAUCUGCAGAGCAAUUGAGUCUCUGUUGCACUCUGCUUGCCUGCCCCGUGUUCUCUUGUUCGACAGUAAAGUUGAAAACUCCAAGAUGUUUCCUUGGGCCUUGGACACUCUUUAGAUAGAAGGACCUGGUGUCUGUGAGGGGCAGUCCCCAAACUAAUGUACCUCUGGCCCAGGACCUAUGAAGACAAGAGAGAUGAAUAGAAAUAUAUAUUUGAAAUGUUGGAA